UGUUCCUGGGUGCAGGGGUAGGAUCUGGGCUCCUUGUGCUGCUGUUACUGCUGAUAGGAGGAGUGCUGAAGUGUCUGCAAUCCAAACGAGACCCUGCUGUCCAGCUUGAACCUGUGUACACCACGGUGAAUAAGAUGAAUCAGUCUCCACAGCAACAUGACAAUACAAUCCCUGAUCCAGAGACACACACUCUCCCUGUCCCCAAGAAAACAGAUAUAUCAGAAUCUGAUGGAAAUGAUGUAGAAUACGCAACAGUUAAAACUUCCAGAUGCUGACUGUUGGUGAGAAAUCCACUGGAGGGGAAAUGACUUGCUUCCUUUUUGUGGUUAAUAGUAAACCACCUCAUAUUCACUGUAAACCAAAAUGAUCUUUCCAUUUAAUAAAAGCACUUUCUGCAGACCCACCAAUCAGAAUGAAGAGACAGAUCAGUCUGAGCCAUGUUAGUGCUGGUUCCAGAACUGACAGCCCAUUGGAGAUGCAAAGAAUCUGGCAGGUUACCUGUCAGCUCUGCCAGCCUCUCUUACUCUCCUUUCCUAUACAUGCAGGUGCUGCUGGUAGAGGUGCUGCUCGCUUUAAAUCAAUUCUCAAGACCCAUCUUCUCUCUUGCAUUCAGUGCUCUUUAAGCUCUGUUACUAGCU